rnacentral:lncRNA from 1 species
AUUUUAGGGUUUCAUGAAAUAAUGCAGUAUUUGGUGUUAUAACAGCAGACAAUUUUUAAAAUUGUCCUCUAACUAAAUAAAAAGAUGCACCUGAUAAAUGUCCAUGCAUAUAUGUUGUAUGCGUAUAUGUCGUGUGCGUAUAUGUCGUGUGAGCAGUGGAGCCCUGUACCCAAAUCCUGUAACAUGUUGAAACUUUCUAUCUACCACAAGUGAGAAAUUGAUAUUUUACUAAGAAAUAAAACAUUUUCUUUGGAGAAAAGUGUGAUUCUGUGUGCCUAUUUGCAUAUUCCCCACCCCUCUCAAUAGAGUAUCAUUUCAUUUUAGGUAUUUAUUUUUUGUCAUAGGUGUAAUUUCUAUCUUUUUAUCUUUCCUGUAAACUACCUAAUUGUAAAGAUCCUAAUUGGUCCCCUUUUCAUUUUUAUCUUGACUUCAUAAGCCAUCUGUUGCUCUAGUUAUCUUCCCCAGUGUAAGGUUUAAAACAGAACUUCCCAAUUCAAAAUGCCCACUGCUACCCUGUUCCUCAAGAGGACAUAUCCAUAAUAGUCACCAGGCACUGACUCAUUUUACUUGGUCCUCAAGCUUGCCUUUCAGAAUUUUUCUGUGGGACACUAAAAAAGCUCAUUUGUUAAUAUGUUUGUUUUUUUUUUCUUAAACUUUCAGUUGAACUUUCUUUUCCCUAAUGCAACCCUUGGAUGGUAAAGAUGUAUCCAUGUCAGCAAAUGGUUCUUCAGUAUCAAGUUUACUGAUGUACUGUAGCCCUUGCUCAACAUUCAUGGCUCCUUAAAUACUCAUUGUGUCAUUCUCAUGCCAAGAAGCUGAUUAACAUAUUCGAUGUGGACAAAGGACCCCCCAGGACUCCGUAGGGCUCAGUAGAUGUUUGUGGUUGGUGAACCUAAGGCACUUAGUGUUUGAUAUUUGAUGUGAUCAACUUGGCGUCUGUGCAAAUCUCUGCAUGAUUUUAUUCUUAAAGUGUUCUUCUUUAACUUUGCUCACUUCGCCUGACCUGCAGGUAAUGUAGUCCCAGUGGUUUUUUUUUUUUUUUCAGAUUAACACAUCUUUCAGUAAUUGAGCACUUAUGAUAUAAUGAGAUAAUAAGUCCUCAACCCAGUUUCAACUUUGCAAUUUUCCAUCAGUUGAGCUUGAGGUAACACCGGUUACUCUGUUUUAUUUUUAACUCAAGAUUUCAAGGCUGUCAGACUUUUAGUAUUCUUAAUGACCUUCAGGUUACUACUAAGGUUGGCCUGCUACCUCCUCUCCUUAACACUCAGUGUGCCAAACCAGGGAUCCCAUGCUCCCAGACCACAGGACCAUUACCUAAAGGCUCCUUCAGCUGCCCUUGAUGAGUAAAGUGUGAAUUCUUGGCUCCAUUGGUUUGUCCCACUUUCUCCUACUUUACAUAUGAUUUUCUCGUGUUUAUCUUCCUCUCAACUGUACACUAAAAUUUAGCUUAUGCCCAUCUAUGAUAUGGAGACAUUUCCACAUUUCAUCCUAUAGCAAGAAACAGAAAGGUACUGUCACUUGUGUUUACAUUGGAAGUUAGCAUUAAGCAUUUGCCCACAAAGUCUCAUUUCUCAUUUUCCCAAGGCUAUUCAUAGUAAAUAAGAAAAGACUACUGCUAACAUUAAGAUGCUAACAAUUCUGUUAAUUUUAAGUUAUAAUAUACUAAUGAUUUUAUUUAUAAGAUCUACUACUAUUAAAACAGGUUACACUCACAACAGUGACUUUACAUUAAAAGCUUCUUGUAGAAACUAAACAACACAUUGGGUUUACUAUCUAAACAUCUAUUCAGUAGUAUAAUUAGUAUAACCCAAGCACCAUGAUACACAGAAAUAAAUAGAAGACAAAAACAGAUAAAGUCAUCUAUCUACAUGUUAGUUAUGAUUUCAGUAAUAAUGUCAAAAAGAUUUAUUGCAGUGAGACUAUGACAUUUACUUCAUAUCUCCCAAAAAACCCAGCACAGUUCAUGGUUCUCUAAAGAGUGUCCUUGAUAUACUUGUUCUCUAUUAAUUGUAUUGAUAUUAUGCAUAUGAUGUGCUGGACUUCAGUAUAUGUCUUAUCCAGCUACUCUUGAGACUAUGAAUAGUAACCAAAACAUCUUCACUGCUCACUGGCCUUCCAGUGAGCUGAAACAGCAUCGUGGGGUUCUUACAGAUACACAUUGGUGUGAAUAUCUUAAUGUGAUACAAAAAUACAAAGCAAACAGAAAUGUAUAAUGUAUAUAAUUACAGCACUAAUGGUGGUAUGCUCUCUACUUUUAUGGAUUAAAUAUGUCUGGUGUUUGAAUUUCUUAAGAAAAUGUGGGUAGUAGACAACAUUGGCCAUGAUGCAUAUGUGUAAAGUACAUUAGUUUCACUGAAGACACUUGUCUGGCUCCUUAGUGUAGUCUCAAACUAUAAAUAGGGAUAUUGUAAUGCUUGCAAGCCAAGGGAAACUAUAUGUCUCACAGUUCAAUCCCAGACACUCCUUGCAGUGUUUUUGUUUCACAUUGAUCACCGAAGAGAUGAAGAAUACACAGGUGAUUAAAGGCAAAUUUGAAACAAAAUACUUUUAAGAAUGAGGUAAAUGGCAGCCCUAUUGGGAAAUGAUCACAAUUUCAAAUACUUUCAAGGAGAGAUAACAAAUUUAAAUGUCUUUGGCUGUUUCAUAAGCAGUACCUAUUCAGGACUAUAGCAUGUUAAAUUUAAUUUCUUAGAAAGCUUGAAGACACAGGUAUGUAUAUGUGACUGUGCAAUCUUUCCACAUUAAUUUUUUAUGAAAAUAGUUGUUUAAAGGUCAACUCAUGCAUAUUUCUCUCCACUUCUAGGACAAUAGAACCAGAGCUUCAUUUGUACAAACUCACAGUGGAAAAGAUUCAGGUUAUCUAAAAUUAGGUUAGACAGUCCUCAGCAAGAAAAUCAAAGCUGUCUUAUAUUUAGUUCUAGUGGGACAUCCCACUGUGCAAUGAUCUAACCAUCGUGUGCCCUCCUGAGCCAGGAUGGAACAAGAUGAAUUUCAUGAAGCACAUCUUUGGGAACAUGCAGGUAGCUAUUUUAUUCAAAGAAGAAAGUAACCAAUUUUUCUUGCUACCAGAAAGUAUGGGGAUUAUUUCUAAUUUUUAGUUAAAUUUACUAGUCACCAACUUUUCAGCAUAGUCAACACCUAGUAGAAAGUUUAAUUUUUGCUACACCUAUAUUAAACAAAUAUUUAUUAAAUGAGAGAACAGUUAUCUAAUAGUGAAUAUUGUAUCUAUCGUUGAUAUUGAGACAUUGGCUUAUCAUAUGUAAUCACAUAGCACUACCGUCUUUCAUUUUUAUGCCCACUUAGGCUAUCCCAGCAAAAGAAAAGCACACACUCUCUACAUUCUCUCUUCUUUCUCUUCCUUUCCUUUUCUUAAAUUUUCUCUUAGUUUUUUUUAAUAGUAUAACGUUUUCUUCCAUUUUGAAAGACUUGGUAAGCAAAUUUGCUUAGUCAUCAUGUCCAAACACAUCCAAAUUCACUUUCUCCCAGGAAUGAUCAUCUACUGAAAACAAAAAAGGGGAAGAAGUGUUUAGU